GACAUCAUCGCGCCAACCCCAUCAUAUACAUCCUGUACAAAUACAGGUGUAUGUGACGGGGUUGGCGCCAUAAUGUACU